rnacentral:rRNA from 1 species
GUCCAUUUGAUGAUAUAAAUGGUCUGGCCUGCUCACUGAUAAAUACAUUUAAGAGCCGCGGUAUUUUGACCGUGCAAAGGUAGCAUAAUCAUUAGGGGUUUAAUUGGAACCUGGUAUGAAGGGUUGGACAAAGGAGAAACUGUCUCUGCAUUGUAUGUUGAAAUUUACUUUUGAGUGAAAAGGCUUAAAUAAUUCAAAAAGACGAUAAGACCCUAUAAAGCUUUAUAAACUACUUAAGCUUAAUUGAUGUAACAUGUAAAAAUUAAGUUUAACUAUUUUAUUUUGUUGGGGUGAUGUGAGUAUAAAUAUUAUUAACUGCUUAAAAUAUAUACAAAUUUAGUUGGGUAUAAAUUCGAUGAUCCUUCUUAAAGAUUAAAAGACUAAGUUACUUUAGGGAUAACAGCGUUAUUUCUUUUAAGAGUUCAUAUCGAAAAAGAAGAUUGCGACCUCGAUGUUGAAUUAAAAUUUCUAUAUAAUGCAGCCGUUAUAAAAGAGGGUCUGUUCGACCUUUAAAUUUUU